rnacentral:rRNA from 1 species
CUCGUCGUGUGUUACCUUUUUGACCAGGAGGAGGAUACGGUGGAUCACAUUCUAUUGCAAUGUGUGCAUGCCCGUCAAGUGUGGUUCUUUUGUUUCCAUAGAGCGGGGAUUGGGCUCAAUAUCUUGCCGAUAGACCAUGAUCAACUAGAGGCAUGGUGGUCCACUUUGCGUAAACAGAUUCCGAAGGAGAACCACACGGGUUUCGACUCCUUCAUCAUGCUAAUAUGUUGGAGCAUAUGGAAACAACAAAAUGACAAAGUCUUUGGGAGAUCGGGCAAUGCGAGUGAAUGUGACCUUGUAGAGCCUAUAUCUGCCAGGAGAUGA